AACUCUGGUAUCUGAUUGGUGCUUGCAUCAUGAUUUACAUUUGAGUGAGUGGCGAACUGGUGAGUAACACGUGGGAAACCUGCCCAGAAGCGGGGGAUAACACCUGGAAACAGAUGCUAAUACCGCAUAACAACUUGGACCGCAUGGUCCGAGUUUGAAAGAUGGCUUCGGCUAUCACUUUUGGAUGGUCCCGCGGCGUAUUAGCUAGAUGGUGGGGUAACGGCUCACCAUGGCAAUGAUACGUAGCCGACCUGAGAGGGUAAUCGGCCACAUUGGGACUGAGACACGGCCCAAACUCCUACGGGAGGCAGCAGUAGGGAAUCUUCCACAAUGGACGAAAGUCUGAUGGAGCAACGCCGCGUGAGUGAAGAAGGGUUUCGGCUCGUAAAACUCUGUUGUUAAAGAAGAACAUAUCUGAGAGUAACUGUUCAGGUAUUGACGGUAUUUAACCAGAAAGCCACGGCUAACUACGUGCCAGCAGCCGCGGUAAUACGUAGGUGGCAAGCGUUGUCCGGAUUUAUUGGGCGUAAAGCGAGCGCAGGCGGUUUUUUAAGUCUGAUGUGAAAGCCUUCGGCUCAACCGAAGAAGUGCAUCGGAAACUGGGAAACUUGAGUGCAGAAGAGGACAGUGGAACUCCAUGUGUAGCGGUGAAAUGCGUAGAUAUAUGGAAGAACACCAGUGGCGAAGGCGGCUGUCUGGUCUGUAACUGACGCUGAGGCUCGAAAGUAUGGGUAGCAAACAGGAUUAGAUACCCUGGUAGUCCAUACCGUAAACGAUGAAUGCUAAGUGUUGGAGGGUUUCCGCCCUUCAGUGCUGCAGCUAACGCAUUAAGCAUUCCGCCUGGGGAGUACGGCCGCAAGGCUGAAACUCAAAGGAAUUGACGGGGGCCCGCACAAGCGGUGGAGCAUGUGGUUUAAUUCGAAGCUACGCGAAGAACCUUACCAGGUCUUGACAUACUAUGCAAAUCUAAGAGAUUAGACGUUCCCUUCGGGGACAUGGAUACAGGUGGUGCAUGGUUGUCGUCAGCUCGUGUCGUGAGAUGUUGGGUUAAGUCCCGCAACGAGCGCAACCCUUAUUAUCAGUUGCCAGCAUUAAGUUGGGCACUCUGGUGAGACUGCCGGUGACAAACCGGAGGAAGGUGGGGAUGACGUCAAAUCAUCAUGCCCCUUAUGACCUGGGCUACACACGUGCUACAAUGGAUGGUACAACGAGUUGCGAACUCGCGAGAGUAAGCUAAUCUCUUAAAGCCAUUCUCAGUUCGGAUUGUAGGCUGCAACUCGCCUACAUGAAGUCGGAAUCGCUAGUAAUCGCGGAUCAGCAUGCCGCGGUGAAUACGUUCCCGGGCCUUGUACACACCGCCCGUCACACCAUGAGAGUUUGUAACA
rnacentral:rRNA from 1 species